GAUGAACGCUGGCGGCGUGCCUAAUACAUGCAAGUCGAGCGAACAGACGAGGAGCUUGCUCCUCUGACGUUAUCGGCGGACGGGAGCUUCACACGUGGUUAACCUACCUAUCCGACUGGGAUACCUUCGGGAAACCGGGGCUACUACCGGAUAAUAUAUUGCACCGCAUUGUUCCCUAGUGAAAUACGGUUUUUCUUUCACUUAUAGCUGGAUCCGCGCCGCAUUCGCUAGUUGGUACGGUAACGGCUUAGCAAGGCAACGAUGGUUACCCGACCUCAGAGGGUGAUCGCACAGACGGGCACUGAGACACGGUCGAGACUCCUAGGGUGGGCAGCAGUAGGGAAUCUUACGGGAUGGGGGAAAGCGGGACGGAGCAACGUCGGGUGAGGGAUGAAGGACUUCGGAUGGGAAAGCCCUGUUGGUAGGGAAGAACAAAAGUGUAAUUACCCGGGAAGGUAUUGACGGUACCGAAAGAGAAAGCCACGGCUAACUACGUG
rnacentral:rRNA from 1 species